AUUCAGCUGAUGAGUUCUAAGCAGGACGAAACGCACGUCCUGGAU
rfam:Schistosoma curassoni strain Dakar, Senegal genome assembly, scaffold: SCTD_contig0002301